UGGGGAAUAUUGCACAAUGGGGGAAACCCUGAUGCAGCGACGCCGCGUGAGCGAAGAAGGUUUUCGAAUCGUAAAGCUCUGUCCUAUGAGAAGAUAAUGACGGUAUCAUAGGAGGAAGCCCCGGCUAAAUACGUGCCAGCAGCCGCGGUAAUACGUAUGGGGCGAGCGUUGUCCGGAAUUAUUGGGCGUAAAGGGUACGUAGGCGGUCUAUUAAGUCAGGUGUGAAAGCGUGAGGCUUAACCUCAUUAAGCACUUGAAACUGAUAGACUUGAGUGAAGGAGAGGAAAGUGGAAUUCCUCGUGUAGCGGUGAAAUGCGUAGAUAUUAGGAGGAAUACCGGUGGCGAAGGCGACUUUCUGGACUUUUACUGACGCUCAGGUACGAAAGCGUGGGGAGCAAACAGG
rnacentral:rRNA from 1 species